rnacentral:rRNA from 1 species
AAUAUUGGGCAAUGCCCGAAAGGGUGACCCAGCAACGCCGCGUGGAGGAUGAAGGUCGUAAGAUUGUAAACUCCUGUUAGAGGGGACGAAUAUCACCGAUCGACUCGGUGUUUGACUGUACCCUCAGAGAAAGCCCCGGCUAACUACGUGCCAGCAGCCGCGGUAAUAGGUAGGGGGCAAGCGUUGUCCGGAUUCACUGGGUGUAAAGGGCGCGCGGGCGGGUUAACAAGUCAGAGGUGAAAUCCUACAGCUUAACUGUAGAACUGCCUUUGAAACUGUUAAUCUUGAGUGCGGAAGAGAGAGACGGAAUUCCAGGUGUAGCGGUGAAAUGCGUAGAUAUCUGGAAGAACACCAGUUGGGAAGGCGGUCUCUUGGUCCGUUACUGACGCUCAGGCGAGAAAGCGUGGGGAGCAAACAGGAUUAGAUACCCUGGUAGUCCACGCCCUAAACGUUNNAUACUAGGUGUUGGUGCUUUUGCAUCAGUGCCGCAGCUAACGCAUUAAGUAUUCCAC